rnacentral:rRNA from 1 species
UACGUAGGGGGCAAGCGUUGUCCGGAUUUACUGGGCGUAAAGCGCGCGUAGGCGGAAGCUCAAGUCUGGCCUGAAAGACCCCGGCUCAACCGUGGAGGGUCAUUGGAAACUGGGAGACUUGAGUGCAGAAGAGGAAAGCGGAAUUCCACGUGUAGCGGUGAAAUGCGUAGAGAUGUGGAGGAACACCAGUGGCGAAGGCGGCUUUCUGGUCUGUAACUGACGCUGAGGCGCGAAAGCGUGGGGAGCAAACAGG